AACGAACGCUGGCGGCAGGCCUAACACAUGCAAGUCGAACGCCGUAGCAAUACGGAGUGGCAGACGGGUGAGUAACACGUGGGAACGUGCCCAAAGGUACGGAACAACUCCGGGAAACUGGAGCUAAUACCGUAUGUGCCCGAGAGGGGAAAGAUUUAUCGCCUUUGGAUCGGCCCGCGUCUGAUUAGCUUGUUGGUGAGGUAACGGCUCACCAAGGCGACGAUCAGUAGCUGGUCUGAGAGGAUGACCAGCCACACUGGGACUGAGACACGGCCCAGACUCCUACGGGAGGCAGCAGUGGGGAAUAUUGGACAAUGGGCGCAAGCCUGAUCCAGCCAUGCCGCGUGAGUGAUGAAGGCCCUAGGGUUGUAAAGCUCCUUCGCCAGGGACGAUAAUGACGGUACCUGGAUAAGAAGCCCCGGCUAACUUCGUGCCAGCAGCCGCGGUAAUACGAAGGGGGCUAGCGUUGUUCGGAAUCACUGGGCGUAAAGCGUAUGCAGGCGGAUCGUUUAAGGUGAGGGGCUGAAAUCCCGAGGCUCAACCUCGGAACUGCCUUUCAUACUGGCGAUCUUGGAGUCCGGGAGAGGUGAGUGGAACUGCGAGUGUAGAGGUGAAAUUCGUAGAUAUUCGCAAGAACACCAGUGGCGAAGGCGGCUCACU
rnacentral:rRNA from 1 species